GCAUUUUCCCGCGCGCGGGUAACUUGGAUGAUGAAGAACCCGGAAGUAGUAGGGGCUGCGUCUUUUCUGUUCUUCUUCCUCCAUCUUGUCCUUUUCCCCUUCACCCAGACAGCAGGAGCUGGAGGGGCGCGAGAGUCCCGGGGGGGAGCUGGCAUACAGUAGGCGCUCAAUACAGGAGCACGGGAGCCUGGGAGGCGGCUGGGGGAUCCUCCGUGGGAGCCUGUCCCGCGCCGCUCUUAGAAAGGACUCUGCGGCGAGCCCAGAAUCUGUUAACCGGCCCUCUUCAGCAAAGGAGCAGAAACCCGGCAGGCGCUCAGACACUCCUCUGCACACCUGAGGAGUCUCCCUCCAACCCAGUGCAUAGACCAGCACGCCUCGCUCCUCCCACAUCUCGUCCUGCCCUCAACCCCUCUCUGAUCCUAAUCCCUUCUCCAUAAACGGAUUUGCCUC